AUGCUCACUUCAGCAGCACAUAUACUAAAAAUGGAAUGAUACGGAGGAGAUUAGCAUGGCCCCUGUGCAAGGAUGACAUGCAAAUUUGUGAAGUGUUACAUUAAAAA
ensembl:snRNA U6 U6 spliceosomal RNA